CCUACGGGAGGCAGCAGUGAGGAAUAUUGGUCAAUGGGCGAGAGCCUGAACCAGCCAAGUCGCGUGAAGGAUGUAGGAUCUAUGGUUUGUAAACUUCUUUUAUAUGGGAAUAAAGUGAGGAACGUGUUCCUUUUUGUAUGUACCAUAUGAAUAAGCAUCGGCGAACUCCGUGCCAGCAGCCGCGGUAAUACGGAGGAUGCGAGCGUUAUCCGGAUUGAUUGGGUGUAAAGGGUGCGUAGGUGGUUAAUUAAGUCAGCGGUUAAAGUUUGUGGCUCAACCAUAAAAUUGCCGUUGAAACUGGUUGGCUUGAGUAUAUUUGAGGUAGGCGGAAUGCGUGGUGUAGCGGUGAAAUGCGUAGAUAUCACGAGGAACUCCGGUUGCGAAGGCAGCUUACUAAACUAUAACUGACGCUGAGGCGCGAAAGCGUGGGGAUCAAACAGGAUUAGAUACCCGAGUAGUC
rnacentral:rRNA from 1 species